AGAGUUUGAUCCUGGCUCAGGGAUGAACGCUAGCGACAGGCUUAACACAUGCAAGUCGAGGGGCAGCGGGGUAGGAAGCUUGCUUUCUGCCGCCGGCGACCGGCGCACGGGUGAGUAACACGUAUGCAACCUGGCCGUGACAGAUGGAUAACCGGGAGAAAUCCCGCCUAAUACAACAUAAUGCCGGGAGGGGACAUCCCCUGCCGGCCAAAGGGGGCGACCCCGGUCACGGAUGGGCAUGCGGCGCAUUAGGUAGUUGGUGGGGCAACGGCCCACCAAGCCGACGAUGCGUAGGGGUUCUGAGAGGAAGGUCCCCCACAUUGGAACUGAGACACGGUCAAAACUCCUACGGGAGGCAGCAGUGAGGAAUAUUGGUCAAUGGCCGGAAGGCUGAACCAGCCAAGUCGCGUGAGGGAAUAAGGCCCUACGGGUCGUAAACCUCUUUUGCCAGGGAGCAAUGCCGUCCACGUGUGGACGGAAGGAGAGUACCUGGAGAAAAAGCAUCGGCUAACUCCGUGCCAGCAGCCGCGGUAAUACGGAGGAUGCGAGCGUUAUCCGGAUUUAUUGGGUUUAAAGGGUGCGUAGGCGGCCUGCCAAGUCAGCGGUAAAAUUGCGGGGCUCAACCCCGUACAGCCGUUGAAACUGCCGGACUCGAGUGGGCGAGAAGUAUGCGGAAUGCGUGGUGUAGCGGUGAAAUGCAUAGAUAUCACGCAGAACCCCGAUUGCGAAGGCAGCAUACCGGCGCCCGACUGACGCUGAGGCACGAAAGUGCGGGGAUCAAACAGGAUUAGAUACCCUGGUAGUCCGCACAGUAAACGAUGAAUG
rnacentral:rRNA from 1 species